UGCACCCAAGGCUUUUGAUUCAUCUUGAUAUUUAGUGAAAGUUUAUUUUCCUAAAUUGGCUGAGGCAAAGAAGUGACUGUUAGUCCUUCAUACUGCAUGACUUAGUAAAUGCUUGUCUGAGGCCUGUCUUUUGUGGACUAAUAAGAGCCAAUAUCUUCAUGCUUUCUUAAAAAAGGGUAUUUUUUGCUUAACUGUAGAAGAUGGACUGAUUUUGAUAUAUCCUGCAGGAUUUCAGAUAAGGUUUUGAAGGAGUAGGGUUUGGGAUUCUACUUGAGGUUGCAGCCCCCCUGCCCAAAGGGGUACAUUACUGGCCUCCAGAAUGCGUGUGGUUAGCACUAAACAUGGGAAUGGAAAUUAAAGACUUCAGAGUUAGGGUUUCAGGACAGACCCUGACUUUUCCUCUGUUCAUUGUAUUUAAUGUCACUUGCAUGUUUUCCCUUUGAAACAGGGAUAGCACAGAAUGGUUUACUCAGUAGUGAUGCAUGUUUUAUGGCUUUUGAUUUUUUUUUUUUUUCUUAACAGAAAUAUAGUGUUUGGGUGAUUUUGUGUGGAAGGGUUGGUGUUUGCAGGCCUAAAAUAUGUUUCACCAUGAAGUAGAAAGCUAAUGAAGUGCUUUGAAGAAAUUAUGGUCACAAAAGCUCGAGUGUCUGGACAACAGCAGCACCAACUACCACAUUUGUACAGUUCCUGGUUUGAUGGAGUCAUGGGCCUGACUGCAGCUCCUGUAGGAGAAUUGGUUAUAUCUGACCUCCCCUGUUUCACAUGACAGUGCAUAUUUCACUGUUUCAGCCCCUUGGAGUCUGGGGUAGUGGCACAGCUACUCUGCUGCUUCUUUUUAAAAAGGGGUGUGUGUGCUUCUGAUGUGUGAGCCUGAGAGCUCGCUUGAAGGUAAUUUUGGUUUAGGACAGCUCGCUCAGCAGGAUCCCAUUGUAGUGUGCUGGUGUGGUUUGCAGUAGCACAAGUGUUGGGGCAUCAGGGCUUGUCAGCAGCAAAUCUGCUACUGCACGAGCACUUUUGUGGGCUUCAGCUAUUUGGAGAGAAUUGUUUGCUUUGCCUGCUCUGCCAAGAGAAGAGAUGUUCCUGUCUUAUUUAAUGCAUUAAGUACUUCAUGAAGGAUGAGAACUAAUCCCACAUACAGAAAAAAAAAAUAAUAGGCCACAAAAUAACCUGUAAAAAAAUAGGCAUACGUCCCAAUAUUUUCUGUUUAAUAACACUUCUGGUUAAGAAUUGCCUCUACCUGUCUGAUUUUGUUCCUUGUUCAUUUUGAAAAACCUGGCUAUGCCAGCUACAAGCCAGUGUUCCUCAGGUGUCUGUGUUCCUGAAACUGGUGCAAGCAUUGUCCCUGAAACCUGCUCCCUUUCCUGAAGACUGCAAAGGUCUCUCAUCCAAGGCUGUGAAGGAAUUCUGAACAUCUAUUUGUCAGCCUUGAAGAUCUCUUGGAGAUUAUAUGUUUGGGAUGUGAAGCCUUAGUAAGACUUGUAAUUUUUGUUAGACUGUUGCCUGGAAAGUAGAACAGAUCUUCCCUAACAACAUUAGAGUGAUAACAUAAAAACAAACCUUUACUUGAAA